rnacentral:tRNA from 1 species
CGAGGAAGUGUGCCCGAGCACCUCAAGGGAUACUUUGAUAGAGUACACCACAGGGGUUAAAAUCCCCUCACUUCC